AAUGGCACUGGAAGAAUUCACGGCUCUGUUGUCAACCCGUGAUUUCUCUAGUGCUAUGAA
rnacentral:pre_miRNA from 1 species